CACCACAGAGCCCUCGGCCGAGCGGCCGCUAGCACCGGCCCGCCUCGGGACCGUCACGGCGCCGCGACCCCGCGGGAGACGGCCUCCCGGCGUCCGACCGCUCGGGACGUCUCCCCCUCGUCCCUCCUCGUCCCAACGCGCCCGAGCCCGCCCCCGGUCCCACGGCCCGGCCGAGCUACCUGGAUCCGCUUCUUGUGUCGCCUGCGUUCCGCCAUGUUGGCCGCUCCGCCCGGUUCCUUCUGACGUGGAGCGAGCCGGGGAGGGGGGCGGCUGAGAUCUCGCGAGAGCGCGGCGGCUCGCGGCCCGUUAUGUAACCCGCCGCGGGCUCUGGGUUGGGGGCGGCCUCCGUGGUCUUCGCGCCGUCCGUGCGGUGGCGGACGACGGGGGCUGCGUCCGCGUCCGCGUCUGCGUCUGCGUCUGGUUCCCCGGAGGCCGGCGCCGAGUGA
rnacentral:lncRNA from 1 species